GGGUAGACCUCCCACCCUGUGUCGUUAUACCUUCGUUGCUUUGGCGGGCCGCGGGGCCCCGGCCCCGCCCCUGGCUCCGGCUAGGGCGCGCCCGCCAGAGGACCUCAAAACCUGAAUGUUAGUGUCGUCUGAGUACUAUAUAAUAGUUAAAACUUUCAACAACGGAUCUCUUGGUUCUGGCAUCGAUGAAGAACGCAGCGAAAUGCGAUAAGUAAUGUGAAUUGCAGAAUUCAGUGAAUCAUCGAAUCUUUGAACGCACAUUGCGCCCCUUGGUAUUCCGGGGGGCAUGCCUGUUCGAGCGUCAUUACAACCCUCAAGCUCUGCUUGGUCUUGGGCGUCACCGGUCCCGGUGUGCCUUAAAAUCAGUGGCGGCGCCAUCUGGCUCUAAGCGUAGUACAUACUCUCGCUACAGACGUCCGGUGGAUGCUGGCCAGCAACCCCCAACUUAUCAAGGUUGACCUCGGAUCAGGUAGGGAUACCCGCUGAACUUAAGCAUAU
rnacentral:rRNA from 1 species